rnacentral:rRNA from 1 species
CACAGAGGAGCCAAGCGUUGUCCGGAUUGACUGGGCGUAAAGCGCACGCAGGCGGAUGCGCGCGUGGGGUGUGAAAUCUGGCCGCUUAACGGCCAGGCGCCAUCCCAUACGGCGUGUCUGGAGGGCUGCAGAGGUCGAUGGAAUUGCCGGUGUAGUGGUGAAAUGCGUAGAGACCGGCAGGAACACCCAGGGGGAAACCAGUCGACUGGGCAGCACCUGACGCUGAGGUGCGAGAGCGUGGGGAGCGAACCGG